rnacentral:rRNA from 1 species
CGAGAGGGACUAGCUAACUGAAAUCAAUUAAAAAUUGAUAACAUAAGGGAAAAUAAUGAUAUUACCUUAUUAUUAGUGUCGUCCAAAACUGGUGCCAGAAGACUCGGUAAGGCCAGAGACACAAACGUUAAUCGUCUUAAUCAGGCGUAAAGGGUUUGUAGGCGGCUUUAAAAUUUAUUUAAAAUAAUAUUAAGUAAAGAAUAAAAGCUAGAAUCAAAUAGAGGAUAUAUGAAAGAAUGCUUAGAGUAGGUCUGAUAUCCUUAGAUACUAAGUAGAAUAUUAAAGGCGAAAGCUUUUUUCCAUUAAUGAUUGACGCUCAGAAACGAAGGUGAGGAUAGGAAAUAGGAUUAGAUACCCAGAAUACCCCUCUCUGUCAACGAUGAAUGGUAGUUAUUAAUAAGAAUUAUUAAUGGCAAUGUUAACACGAUAACCAUUCCGCCUUGUGAGUACAACUGCAAAGUUGAAAACAAAAAAAUUAGUCGGUUUCGGAGCAAACGAAGUGAAGCAUGUUAUUUAAUUAAAAAAAUCCGCGACCU